rnacentral:sRNA from 1 species
UUCUCGCAGCCCGACUUGAGCGGAAAUCCUUUUUGUGGAGCAAAGCGGAACAAAAAGAUUGGGAGUGGAAGGCGGAUUAAGCU